rnacentral:tRNA from 1 species
CCCUAGUUAGUUCACUUGGUAGAACGCUCCACUGGAAAUGGAGAGGUCCUGGGUUCGUUACCGGGAGCAGGCG